GUCUUUGCAAGAUAUUAAAGAUAAAAAUACUAUUUUUUUUUACUUUUUUUAGAAUUUUUUAAUGCUUAAUGUACUUUUAGUUAGUACUGUGAGUGAACAACGUCAUAAAAGUUUGCUUAUGCCGAGAAUGACACCUGGUUUAUUAAUGUUACAAAAAGAGGAAACUGAUUAUGCGCCGUUCAUCAAAGUGAACACAUCAUUGCAAUCGGAAACUAGCAACAACCAAGGCAUUUAAUUUAUAACAGCAGUGAACAUUUUUUCAGCAUUUAAAAACAUUGGUAAUCUUCCAACCUUACUUCAUUCAAUGUUUGCUCGUCUCACAAAGAUUGAACAAAAAUUAGAUACAUGUCUUACGCAGCAGAAAAUGAUAUUGAAGGUUGUUGGCUCAUCAGAGGUUGCUGUUGCAUUACCUGACAAUAUAUCAUUGCCAUUGCAUUCCAUUGUGCAUUUAGAACAUCUUGAGCAUGUUCUACUAGAAAAAUCUUGAUUGGAUGCAUUUGUAUAUUUAAUUUAGAUAAUAUUUUUA